AAACAAUCUUUCCAGCCAAGCUUCCUUGGGCCAGUUGAAGUGAAACCAAGGAUUGUCCACUUAUCUCAGUAAUUAAGGCACAAAGAGACCCAUGCUGUUUGGGUCUGACUUUUCCAAAUCUGAGGGAUGAUGGUUUUAGCAAAUUCAGUGUGGACCAGAUCUUUGAUUCACUGUGGUCAUUCAGUCGUUUCUGAGUCAUUGCUGGACAGCAGAAGCAGACAGCUGAAUCACAGCUCAGAAAACCGUAAUGAGCUGAGCAGCAUUACAGCUUGUUUCGCUUAAUAUUUAUUCUUAAAACAUGACUUCAUUUGUGAUGGCUAUACUUGGAGAUCCAGAUACAAGUCCAGCGUGUUUGCUGUAACAAGUUAAUGCGAUGAAAUAUGGAAAAACCUAUUUGCCUCUGUCUUCAAAAUUUGCACAAAGCUCCUUUCUGGUGAGGAUUGCGUUGCACUGAUCUCUACACAUUUUCCUGGCAUGCAGUGCUGUUUGGCCCUUUAUGGGAUGGGCACAAAGACCCUGUGUCUACCUUCCCAGUGGGCUGCAUAAGAGACCGGGCACAGUGGAGACACAUACAAAGGAAACUUGAAAUUAAACCUAAAGACCUUAUUAGACUCAAAUCACAUAUUUUUGGCAAGAAAAUUGUAUUGUUCAUGCUAUCAAUUGCCUUUUGUGUUAUAUGAGAAGCUGAGUGAUAUGUCAUUGUGUGAAUAUACCACAUAUACAAGCAGUUCCUUAACUAAAGGACCAACUCAGGGAAGAAGUUCAUUGGUACAAACCCCACACCAUGGGACCCCUGGAGGACUAUACCUUAGAAGCAGGGAUGAAAGAGAGACUGCCAUUCCCGUGGUUACAGCUAUUGAAAUGACACCCAUAGAAAACAGAAGAAAAUAAUUAGCUUCCACUCAUUUCCAAACCCAGUACUUUCUGGGACUCAGACUGGCUCUUCUUGCUCCUCUGCUUGCAGACAGCCUGUUGUGGAACCUUGUGAUCAGGUUGGGCUGGAAAAUCCAUUUCUCACGGUUCCAAAGGCUGGGAAGCCAGGGUCAAGGUCCUGCAGAUCCAGUGUCUGGCGAAGCCCUUCUUCCGGGUUUGGAAAUGGCUGCCUUCUCCUUCUAUCCUCACACGGCAGAGAGAGAAAGAGACUGUGAGAAACAGAGGAAGUACUCCAGGGAGUUCUGCAAUGUCUUCUAAAAGGAUGCUAAUCACAUCAUGGGGGCUCCAUCUUUGUGACCUAAUCACUUCCCAAAGGCCCCACAUCCUAAUACCGUCACAUGGGAAGUGAGGGUUUCAACAUGUGAAUUUGUGAGGGGACACAAACAUUCAGUCCAUGGCACUAACAUACCCAACACCAGAAUCUGAGUGGAGAGUUUCAUCUGGGUGAUAUCCCUUCAGUUUGUGUAAAGCCCUGAACUCCACCUCGUCUUUCUCAGCUGCUUUUCCUGUUUUCUCUGCCAUGGUGAUGCUGCUGCCUUCCACUCAAGUUAUGAGAAGACAGGGUCCCACAGUUUACCAUCUGCUUCUGUCACCCGUCUUGAGUUGGUCACAAAUUCCUACUGAUGAUACCACACAAAGGACUCCUGGGCAUGUCGUCUCCUCUCUUGAAAACAUAGGGUCUUAGUCCAGGUCUUCAUUUAUGCAUUCGUCCAACAUUUCCUGUUUUACUUUCUUUCAUGGUGUUCUCCAUGGUGGUGAUUAAAUAAGCUUCCUAAAAUACAGAAAAAAUAAUGUCAUUAUUUGCUUAAAAACUCCCCAUUUCUUCUCCAUUGCUCAUUUUUUAAAUAACACAUUUUUGUUAUUGUGGCAGGAUACGCAUAACAAAAUGACCAUUCUGAGUGCACAGUUCUGGGGUACUGAGUCCAUUCACAUGGUUGUGCAACCAUCACCACCACUCAUCUCUAGAAUGCUUUCCAUCCUUCAAAACCGAAACUUCGUACUCAUUAAACAAUUCCCCACUUCUCUCUCCCCUCAGAACCUGGCAACCACCAUUUAACUUUUUGUCUCUGUGAGUUUGACUAUUCUGGAUAUCUCAUAUAAGUGGAGUCACACGUUGUCUUUUUGUGACUGGUUUAUUUCACUUGGUUUAAUGUCUUAAGGUUCAUCCCUGUUGUGGCACAUUGCUGUGAUUUGAAUGGGUCACCUUGAAAAUCCAGGUGUUAUCAAUGUGGUACUAUUAAGAGGUGGGGGUUUUAGGUGGUGAUUAGAUCAAGAGAGCUCUUCCAUCAUGAGUGAGAUUAGGUGCCCUUAUAAAAGGACUUCAUGAAGGAGUUUGUCCCCCUUUUGCCCUUCUUCCUUUUGCCAUGUAAGAACACAGUGCUCCUCCCUUCUGGAGGCUGCAGCAAUAAGGCCUCCUCUUGGAAGUAGAGAGCCACCCUGAACCAGAUGCUGAAUCUGCUGGCAUCUUGAUCUUGGACUUAUAGCUCCCAGAACUAUAAGAAAUAAAUUUCUGUUCAUUAAUAAUUACCAGUUUUUGGUAUUUUGUCAUAGCAGCGCAAGCAGACCAAGACACAUAUAUAAGGAUUUCUUCCUUUUGAUGGGUGAAUAAUAUUCCAUUGUAUGUGUAGAGUACAUUUCAAUUAUUCUAUCAUCCAUAGGUGGACCUGAGAGGUUGCUUCCAUAUUUUGACUAUUGCAAAUAAUGCUGCUAUGAACAUGAGUAUACAGAUAUUUGGGUCCGUGCUUUCAUUCCUCUUGGGUAUAUACCUAGAAGUAGAAUUUCUGGAUUGUAUGGUAAUUCUAUAUUUAAUAUUUUCAAGAACUGCCACGCUGUUUUCCGCAGCUGCUGCACCAGUUUACCUUCCCACCAACAGUGCUCAAGGGUUUCAAUUUCUCUACAUUCUUGCUAACACUUGUUAUUUUCUGUUACUUAUUUAGUUUUUUAUUUUUGAUAAUAGUCUAAUGAGUGUGAGGUUGUAUCUCAUCGUGGUUUGAUUUCCAUUUUCCAUUAUAACUAGUGAUGUUGAAGAUCUUUUCGGGUAGUUACUGGUCAUUUGUAUAUCUGUCUUGGAGAAAUAUCUAUUCAAGUCCUUUGCCCAUUUUUCG
rnacentral:lncRNA from 1 species